rnacentral:rRNA from 1 species
AUUGAACGCUGGCGGCAGGCCUAACACAUGCAAGUCGAGCGGUAGCACAGAGAGCUUGCUCUCGGGUGACGAGCGGCGGACGGGUGAGUAAUGUCUGGGAAACUGCCUGAUGGAGGGGGAUAACUACUGGAAACGGUAGCUAAUACCGCAUAAUGUCGCAAGACCAAAGUGGGGGACCUUCGGGCCUCAUGCCAUCAGAUGUGCCCAGAUGGGAUUAGCUAGUAGGUGGGGUAACGGCUCACCUAGGCGACGAUCCCUAGCUGGUCUGAGAGGAUGACCAGCCACACUGGAACUGAGACACGGUCCAGACUCCUACGGGAGGCAGCAGUGGGGAAUAUUGCACAAUGGGCGCAAGCCUGAUGCAGCCAUGCCGCGUGUGUGAAGAAGGCCUUCGGGUUGUAAAGCACUUUCAGCGGGGAGGAAGGCGGUGAGGUUAAUAACCUCAUCGAUUGACGUUACCCGCAGAAGAAGCACCGGCUAACUCCGUGCCAGCAGCCGCGGUAA